GGAGGUUGUGCCCUUGAGGCGUGGCUUCCGGAGCUAACGCGUUAAGUCGACCGCCUGGGGAGUACGGCCGCAAGGUUAAAACUCAAAUGAAUUGACGGGGGCCCGCACAAGCGGUGGAGCAUGUGGUUUAAUUCGAUGCAACGCGAAGAACCUUACCUGGUCUUGACAUCCACAGAACUUUCCAGAGAUGGAUUGGUGCCUUCGGGAACUGUGAGACAGGUGCUGCAUGGCUGUCGUCAGCUCGUGUUGUGAAAUGUUGGGUUAAGUCCCGCAACGAGCGCAACCCUUAUCCUUUGUUGCCAGCGGUCCGGCCGGGAACUCAAAGGAGACUGCCAGUGAUAAACUGGAGGAAGGUGGGGAUGACGUCAAGUCAUCAUGGCCCUUACGACCAGGGCUACACACGUGCUACAAUGGCGCAUACAAAGAGAAGCGACCUCGCGAGAGCAAGCGGACCUCAUAAAGUGCGUCGUAGUCCGGAUUGGAGUCUGCAACUCGACUCCAUGAAGUCGGAAUCGCUAGUAAUCGUGGAUCAGAAUGCCACGGUGAAUACGUUCCCGGGCCUUGUACACACCGCCCGUCACACCAUGGGAGUGGGUUGCAAAAGAAGUAGGUAGCUUAACCUUAGGGAGGGCGCUUACCACUUUGUGAUUCAUGACUGGGGUGAAGUCGUAACAAGGUAACCGUAGGGGAACCUGCGGUUGGAUCACCUCCUUACCUUAAAGAA
rnacentral:rRNA from 1 species